GUACACACAGAUCCGGUGGAUAGUUACACUAAGACCACAAAGAGUAAUAUACGAGGAUGCAUACGAUGCCUUGGAUGUGUCACAUGUGGACAUAUGAUUCCGUCUAAGAAAUUUACCCAUCCACACACCAAUAAAGUAUAUGACAUCAGGCACACCAUUUCAUGUAAAACUCCCUUUGUCAAUAUAAAACUUUUGUGUCCCUCACAGGUAGGCCUCAG